rnacentral:lncRNA from 1 species
GUUAUCUGUCAGGACUUAGAAAUUUUCUCCAAAAUUUUUCUUUGCAAUCACCCAAACUUCAAAACGAAUAUCUGUCGGAAGUUUUGCUUGAAUCUUCUAGAAGCAUCUCUAUGGAUCUCGAGACUGAUGGCGCGGGAACUGAGCAGUCUUUUAGAGUUUCUAUGUUUCUAGAACGCUUAUUUAUUAGGACUCUUGGGAGCUCGUAGCCUCCUCUUUUGGCUUGUAGCUUUAUGCCAUUUGGCAUCUUUUCAUUUGCUUUAUGGGCGGCGAGUGGCCUUUAAAUAGUUGUGGCCUCCACCCCCCUCAACUCAGAAUCCAUAUUUGUAUUCUCUAUUUCAAAAUAAUAGAAGAGCUUUUUUCAUUCCUCUCUCUCUUGUUCAUAGUCUAGGGUGAGUAGGUCCUAACUUAGCAAGUAGAGAGGUAGGCUUGCUCACUUCGCGAAGGAAGGCGGGCACCGCAC